rnacentral:rRNA from 1 species
GGAUGAACGCUGGCGGCGUGCUUAACCCCUGCAAGUCGAACGAUGAAGCCCAGCUUGCUGGGUGGAUUAGUGGCGAACGGGUGAGUAACACGUGAGUAACCUGCCCUUAACUCUGGGAUAAGCCUGGGAAACUGGGUCUAAUACCGGAUAGGAGCGUCCACCGCAUGGUGGGUGUUGGAAAGAUUUAUCGGUUUUGGAUGGACUCGCGGCCUAUCAGCUUGUUGGUGAGGUAAUGGCUCACCAAGGCGACGACGGGUAGCCGGCCUGAGAGGGUGACCGGCCACACUGGGACUGAGACACGGCCCAGACUCCUACGGGAGGCAGCAGUGGGGAAUAUUGCACAAUGGGCGCAAGCCUGAUGCAGCGACGCCGCGUGAGGGAUGACGGCCUUCGGGUUGUAAACCUCUUUCAGUAGGGAAGAAGCGAAAGUGACGGUACCUGCAGAAGAAGCACCGGCUAACUACGUG